rnacentral:rRNA from 1 species
GAAUAGGACGUGCGGUUCUAUUUGUUGGUUUCUAGGACCGCCGUAAUGAUUAAUAGGGACAGUCGGGGGCAUCAGUAUUCAAUUGUCAGAGGUGAAAUUCUUGGAUUUAUUGAAGACUAACUACUGCGAAAGCAUUUGCCAAGGAUGUUUUCAUUAAUCAGGAACGAAAGUUAGGGGAUCGAAGACGAUCAGAUACCGCCGUAGUCUUAACCAUAAACUAUGCCGACUAGGGAUCGGACGGUGUUAUUUUUUGACCCGUUCGGCACCUUACGAGAAAUCAAAGUGCUUGGGCUCCAGGGGGAGUAUGGUCGCAAGGCUGAAACUUAAAGAAAUUGACGGAAGGGCACCACCAGGGGUGGAGCCUGCGGCUUAAUUUGACUCAACACGGGGAAACUCACCAGGUCCAGACACAAUGAGGAUUGACAGAUUGAGAGCUCUUUCUUGAUUUUGUGGGUGGUGGUGCAUGGCCGUUCUUAGUUGGUGGAGUGAUUUGUCUGCUUAAUUGCGAUAACGAACGAGACCUUAACCUGCUAAAUAGCCCGUAUUGCUUUGGCAGUACGCUGGCUUCUUAGAGGGACUAUCGGCUCAAGCCGAUGGAAGUUUGAGGCAAUAACAGGUCUGUGAUGCCCUUAGAUGUUUUGGGCCGCACGCGCGCUACACUGACAGGGCCAGCGAGUUUUUUUCCUUGGCCGGAAGGUCUGGGUAAUCUUGUGAAACCCUGUCGUGCUGGGGAUAGAGCAUUGCAAU